AUUGAACGCUGGCGGCAGGCCUAACACAUGCAAGUCGAGCGGAUGACGGGAGCUUGCUCCUUGAUUCAGCGGCGGACGGGUGAGUAAUGCCUAGGAAUCUGCCUGGUAGUGGGGGACAACGUUUCGAAAGGAACGCUAAUACCGCAUACGUCCUACGGGUGAAAGCCGGGGACCUUCGGGUCUUUCGCUAUUAGAUGAGCCUAGGUCGGAUUAGCUUGUUGGUGAGGUAAGGGCUCACCAAGGCGACGAUCCGUAACUGGUCUGAGAGGAUGAUCAGUCACACUGGAACUGAGACACGGUCCAGACUCCUACGGGAGGCAGCAGUGGGGAAUAUUGGACAAUGGGCGAAAGCCUGAUCCAGCCAUGCCGCGUGUGUGAAGAAGGUCUUCGGAUUGUAAAGCACUUUAAGUUGGGAGGAAGGGUUGUAGAUUAAUACUCUGCAAUUUUGACGUUACCGACAGAAUAAGCACCGGCUAACUCCGUG
rnacentral:rRNA from 1 species